rnacentral:rRNA from 1 species
AACGAACGCUGGCGGCAUGCCUAACACAUGCAAGUCGAACGAGACCUUCGGGUCUAGUGGCGAACGGGUGCGUAACGCGUGGGAACCUGCCCUUAGGUUCGGAAUAACUCCCCGAAAGGGGUGCUAAUACCGGAUAAUGUCUUCGGACCAAAGAUUUAUCGCCUUUGGAUGGGCCCGCGUUGGAUUAGCUAGUUGGUAGGGUAAAAGCCUACCAAGGCGACGAUCCAUAGCUGGUCUGAGAGGAUGAUCAGCCACACUGGGACUGGGACACGGCCCAGACUCCUACGGGAGGCAGCAGUGGGGAAUAUUGGACAAUGGGCGAAAGCCUGAUCCAGCAAUGCCGCGUGAGUGAUGAAGGCCUUAGGGUUGUAAAGCUCUUUUACCCGGGAUGAUAAUGACAGUACCGGGAGAAUAAGCUCCGGCUAACUCCGUG